rnacentral:rRNA from 1 species
AACGAACGCUGGCGGCAUGCCUAACACAUGCAAGUCGAACGAGAUCUUCGGGUCUAGUGGCGCACGGGUGCGUAACGCGUGGGAAUCUGCCCUUUGGUUCGGAAUAACAGUUGGAAACGACUGCUAAUACCGGAUGAUGACGAAAGUCCAAAGAUUUAUCGCCAGAGGAUGAGCCCGCGUAGGAUUAGCUAGUUGGUGUGGUAAAGGCGCACCAAGGCGACGAUCCUUAGCUGGUCUGAGAGGAUGAUCAGCCACACUGGGACUGAGACACGGCCCAGACUCCUACGGGAGGCAGCAGUGGGGAAUAUUGGACAAUGGGCGAAAGCCUGAUCCAACAAUGCCGCGUGAGUGAUGAAGGCCUUAGGGUUGUAAAGCUCUUUUACCCGGGAUGAUAAUGACAGUACCGGGAGAAUAAGCUCCGGCUAACUCCGUGCCAGCCGCCGCCGUAACAC